UACGAGUGGUGCAAGCGUUAUUCGGAAUCACUGGGCGUAAAGGGUGUGUAGGCGACAUUUCAAGUCCAUUGUUAAAUAUCCCAGCCUAACUGGGAAGGUGCGAUGGAUACUGAUUUGAUAGAGGGUGGAAGAGAGAAGUGGAAUUCUCGGAGUAGCGGUAAAAUGCGUAGAUAUCGAGAGGAACACCGAUGGCGAAGGCAGCUUCUUGGUCCAUUCCUGACGCUGAGACACGAAAGCGUGGGGAGCAAACAGG
rnacentral:rRNA from 1 species